UCGAUCAGUAGGGAUACCCGCUGACUAGCAUAUCAUAAAGCGGGAGGAA
rnacentral:rRNA from 1 species